AAGCUCGUAGUUGAAUUUCGGGAUUGACGUAAUGGUCAUACCUUAAGGGGUAUGAACUGUUACUGUUGAUUUCUCACCUUCUGGAGAAACUUGAUGUCCUUUAUUGGGUGUCUUGCGGAUCCAGGACCUUUACCUUGAAAAAAUUAGAGUGUUUAAAGCAGGCAUUUUUGCUCGAAUACAUUAGCAUGGAAUAAUAGAAUAGGACGGCAUGGUUCUAUUUUGUUGGUUUCUAGGACCGAAGUAAUGAUUAAUAGGGAUAGUUGGG
rnacentral:rRNA from 1 species